CGCUCCACCCAUGUGCCAUGAUGCAGCAACCUGCUCCGCCCACGGCGCUGCCUGCCCGCUCCCCCACGCCGCCGCCUUCUCCUCACACUCCAUGCCAUACGCCGCCACCUGGAUCCCCAGCGCCGCCUCAGUCAAUAUCUGGCGACUGGCGUCUCCCUAAAGCGCUGGCGGCGCCCCAAGAUCUGUGAGCGGCGGGGAGGACAAGAACAUCGUCCUUGGCUUGGGUGGAUGCGGCGGCGACGGCGAGGUGGUGGAUGUGGGGAGCGGCCUGGAUUUCUCGGGCGUCGGCGCUGUGUUCCCAGCGGACUGUGACGAGCUUCAAUUUUACUGACCAUGGAACGCUCCGUAGUUACAAAAAGUACAAUCUCAUUAUAGACUAUGUUCUGAUUGACACAUGUAACUACAGCACCAGGUUACAAGCUUUGACCGCAAUCACUAGUCUUGAAGAUUGAUAUUCUUCAAUUCUACUCCAAAACUGCAAGGCGUAAUGAUUCCGGGGACGCGGCGUGGAUCGAUUCUGGCGAUGUGCGUGGAACGAUUGACGAGCUAGGCGACGCCCACGGCGUGAAUGGAUUCCAGCGACACACGUGGAUCGAUUAGCGAGCAGGACCGGCCAUGCGCGGAGGAGGAGCUGGCCGGUGGAGGAGGAUCGAUUCCGGUGGGAGCUGGCCGGUGGACGGCGGAGGGAUGACGCUGGUGCGAACGCGAGAUUCCAGUUUUAGAUAGGGUUAUUGAUGUCUUUCACAGUGUUUUCACCUGGUCGGAACAUUUGUUUAACGUUUUACAAGUAUGUGUAUUACAAAGUAUUACUAAUCACACUCCAAUCUUGCAGUUUUAAAUUUGUCCCCGGUUUCAAUAUAAUUGCUAAAUUAUUUCAGCAUGUAAUGACACUCCAAUUUGGAAAUUUUCAGAUUAUUUCAGACUUCUCCAA